rnacentral:rRNA from 11 species
GGUUGACCUCGGAUCAGGUAGGGAUACCCGCUGAACUUAAGCAUAUCAAUAAGCGG